UACAGAGGUCUCGAGCGUUAGGCGGAAUCACUGGGCUUAAAGCGUGUGUAGGCGGAUCGUUAAGUACCUUGUGAAAUCCCACGGCUCAACCGUGGAACUGCUUGGCAUACUGGCGGUCUUGAGCAACCUAGGGGCGAGCGGAACAAAUGGUGGAGCGGUGAAAUGCGUAGAUAUCAUUUGGAACGCCAAUGGUGAAAACAGCUCGCUGGGGGUUUGCUGACGCUGAGACACGAAAGCCAGGGGAGCAAACGGG
rnacentral:rRNA from 1 species